rnacentral:rRNA from 1 species
GGAAUUUUGCACAAUGGAGGAAACUCUGAUGCAGCGAUGCCGCGUGAGUGAAGAAGGCCUUUGGGUUGUAAAGCUCUUUUGUGGGGGAAGAUAAUGACGGUACCCCAAGAAUAAGAUCCGGCUAACUUCGUGCCAGCAGCCGCGGUAAUACGAAGGGAUCUAGCGUAGUUCGGAAUUACUGGGCGUAAAGCGCGCGUAGGCGGUUUAGAAAGUUAAUUGUGAAAUCCCAAAGCUUAACUUUGGAACAGCAAUUAAAACUUCUAAACUAGAGUUUGAUAGAGGGAAGCGGAAUACAUAGUGUAGAGGUGAAAUUCGUAGAUAUUAUGUAGAACACCAGUUGCGAAGGCGGCUUCCUGGGUCAACACUGACGCUGAGGUGCGAAAGUAUGGGUAGCAAAGAGGAUUAGAUACCCUCGUAGUCCAUACCUUAAACGAUGAUUGCUAGAUGUUGGAAAUUUUUUCAGUAUCGCAGCUAACGCGUUAAGCAAUCCGCCUGGGGAGUACGACCGCAAGGUUAAAACUCAAAUGAAUUGACGG